UACGGAGGAUCCGAGCGUUAUCCGGAUUUAUUGGGUUUAAAGGGAGCGUAGGUGGAUUGUUAAGUCAGUUGUGAAAGUUUGCGGCUCAACCGUAAAAUUGCAGUUGAAACUGGCAGUCUUGAGUACAGUAGAGGUGGGCGGAAUUCGUGGUGUAGCGGUGGAAUGCGUAGAUAUUAGGAGGAACACCAGAGGCGAAGGCGGCUUUCUGGACAUUAACUGACGCUGAGGCUCGAAAGCGUGGGGAGCAAACAGG
rnacentral:rRNA from 1 species